UACGUAGGGUGCGAGCGUUAAUCGGAAUUACUGGGCGUAAAGCGUGCGCAGGCGGUUCGCCAAGUCAGGUGUGAAAUCCCCGGGCUUAACCUGGGAAUUGCGCUUGAAACUAGCGGGCUUGAGUGUGGCAGAGGGGGGUGGAAUUCCACGUGUAGCAGUGAAAUGCGUAGAGAUGUGGAGGAACACCGAUGGCGGAGGCAGCCCCCUGGGUCAACACUGACGCUCAUGCACGAAAGCGUGGGGAGCAAACAGG
rnacentral:rRNA from 1 species